UACGGAGGGUGCAAGCGUUAUCCGGAUUCACUGGGUUUAAAGGGAGCGUAGGUGGGCUGGUAAGUCAGUUGUGAAAUCUCCGGGCUUAACUCGGAAAGGUCAACUGAUACUGUGCGACUAGAGUGCGGAAGGGGCAACUGGAAUUCUUGGUGUAGCGGUGAAAUGCGUAGAUAUCAAGAGGAACACCUGCGGCGAAGGCGGGUUGCUGGGCCGACACUGACGCUGAGGCGCGAAAGCCAGGGGAGCGAACGGG
rnacentral:rRNA from 1 species